rnacentral:rRNA from 1 species
AACGAACGCUGGCGGCAUGCCUAACACAUGCAAGUCGAACGAGACCUUCGGGUCUAGUGGCGCACGGGUGCGUAACGCGUGGGAACCUGCCCUUAGGUUCGGAAUAACUCCCCGAAAGGGGUGCUAAUACCGGAUAAUGUCUUCGGACCAAAGAUUUAUCGCCUUUGGAUGGGCCCGCGUUGGAUUAGCUAGUUGGUAGGGUAAAAGCCUACCAAGGCGACGAUCCAUAGCUAGUCUGAGAGGAUGAUCAGCCACACUGGGACUGAGACACGGCCCAGACUCCUACGGGAGGCAGCAGUGGGGAAUAUUGGACAAUGGGCGAAAGCCUGAUCCAGCAAUGCCGCGUGAGUGAUGAAGGCCUUAGGGUUGUAAAGCUCUUUUACCCGGGAUGAUAACGACAGUACCGGGAGAAUAAGCUCCGGCUAACUCCGUG